UCAUAAAUACACCAUCUCAUUUCACUGAUUAUCAAAAACAACAAAUUCAAAAUUGUUAGCGAAGGAGAGAAAAGAGAAGUCGUAGUCUCAUAGCUCAUGGGAGAAGAGGGCAAGAAAGCGGCGGAAAAAGAGGAGGGUGCACGAGGUCAUGGAAAUAUUGCACAGAAAGGGCAAGAAGAGGUUAGUUGGACGUGGAAGAGAAAGCCGUUGCAAGGAUUUAGCCAUUCGAUCUCCCUUUCUUACCGGAAGAAAGUG